rnacentral:rRNA from 1 species
UACGUAGGGUGCGAGCGUUAAUCGGAAUUACUGGGCGUAAAGCGUGCGCAGGCGGUUUUGUAAGCCAGAUGUGAAAGCCCCGGGCUCAACCUGGGAAUGGCAUUUGGGACUGCAAGGCUUGAGUGCGGCAGAGGAGACUGGAAUUCCUGGUGUAGCAGUGAAAUGCGUAGAUAUCAGGAAGAACACCGGUGGCGAAGGCGCUCUGCUAGGCCGCAACUGACACUGAGGGACGAAAGCUAGGGGAGCGAAUGGG